UUUUUUUUUUCAUCAUCAAGCUAGUAAGAUUUUUCUCCCUCUUUGUUAUUGUCAAAGAGAAGAGAAUAAUACAAUAGUAUAUAUUUUUUUUUUCAUACUCAUAAUAUAAGAUUUACAACCAUAAAUACAAAUGAAUUAUAUAUAAUGAAAAUCAUAUCAUGAAAGAUAAUAUCAAAGAUCAUGUGAAUACCAAAAGACAUUAUUCAUUUUGAUAAAUCUCAUCUUAAAUAAUCCAAAAGAAAUCUUAGG
rnacentral:lncRNA from 1 species